rnacentral:rRNA from 1 species
AUGAACGCUAGCGGCAGGCUUAAUACAUGCAAGUUGAGGGGCAGCAUGAUAUACGCGAGUAUAUUGAUGGCGACCGGCGGACGGGUGAGUAAUAGGUAGGAGACCUACCUCAUACAGGGGGAUAGCAUAGAGAAAUCUGUGGUAAUACCCCAUGAGGUUAUAUGAAUAGAGGCAUAUAAUCAAAGCAUAAGUGAUUAUGCGGUAUGAGAGGGGCCUACUGACCAUUAGCUAGUUGGUGAGGUAAGGGCUCACCAAGGCGAAGAUGGUUAGGGGUUUGAGAGAGAGACCCCCCCACAUUGGAACUGAGAGACGGUCCAGACUCCUACGGGAGGCAGCAGUAGGGAAUAUUGGGCAAUGGGCGAAAGCCUGACCCAGCCAUGCCGCGUGAAGGAAGACGGCCUUAUGGGUUGUAAACUUCUUUACUACGCGAAUAGAGGUUAGUACGAGAUACUAAUAGGAAGGUAGUGUAGUAAAAAGCACCGGCUAACUCCGUG